CCAGCAUGAGUUAUGUCAUGUUAUCGAUAUGUGAAUACAUAGCAUAUCAGAAGGCACACCCGGAGAACUGAAACAUCUUAGUACCCGGAGGAAGAGAAAGAAAAUUCGAUUCCCUUAGUAGCGGCGAGCGAAAUGGGAAGAGCCCAAACCAACAAGUUUGCUUGUUGGGGUUGUAGGACACUCUAUACGGAGUUACAAAGGACGACAUUAGACGAAUCAUCUGGAAAGAUGAAUCAAAGAAGGUAAUAAUCCUGUAGUCGAAAAUGUUGUCUCUCUUGAGUGGAUCCUGAGUACGACGGAGCACGUGAAAUUCCGUCGGAAUCUGGGAGGACCAUCUCCUAAGGCUAAAUACUCUCUAGUGACCGAUAGUGAACCAGUACCGUGAGGGAAAGGUGAAAAGCACCCCGGAAGGGGAGUGAAAUAGAACCUGAAACCGUGUGCUUACAAGUAGUCAGAGCCCGUUAAUGGGUGAUGGCGUGCCUUUUGUAGAAUGAACCGGCGAGUUACGAUUUGAUGCAAGGUUAAGCAGUAAAUGUGGAGCCGUAGCGAAAGCGAGUCUGAAUAGGGCGUUUAGUAUUUGGUCGUAGACCCGAAACCAGGUGAUCUACCCUUGGUCAGGUUGAAGUUCAGGUAACACUGAAUGGAGGACCGAACCGACUUACGUUGAAAAGUGAGCGGAUGAACUGAGGGUAGCGGAGAAAUUCCAAUCGAACCUGGAGAUAGCUGGUUCUCUCCGAAAUAGCUUUAGGGCUAGCCUCAAGUGAUGAUUAUUGGAGGUAGAGCACUGUUUGGACGAGGGGCCCCUCUCGGGUUACCGAAUUCAGACAAACUCCGAAUGCCAAUUAAUUUAACUUGGGAGUCAGAACAUGGGUGAUAAGGUCCGUGUUCGAAAGGGAAACAGCCCAGACCACCAGCUAAGGUCCCAAAAUAUAUGUUAAGUGGAAAAGGAUGUGGCGUUGCCCAGACAACUAGGAUGUUGGCUUAGAAGCAGCCAUCAUUUAAAGAGUGCGUAAUAGCUCACUAGUCGAGUGACACUGCGCCGAAAAUGUACCGGGGCUAAACAUAUUACCGAAGCUGUGGAUUGUCCUUUGGACAAUGGUAGGAGAGCGUUCUAAGGGCGUUGAAGCAUGAUCGUAAGGACAUGUGGAGCGCUUAGAAGUGAGAAUGCCGGUGUGAGUAGCGAAAGACGGGUGAGAAUCCCGUCCACCGAUUGACUAAGGUUUCCAGAGGAAGGCUCGUCCGCUCUGGGUUAGUCGGGUCCUAAGCUGAGGCCGACAGGCGUAGGCGAUGGAUAACAGGUUGAUAUUCCUGUACCACCUAUAAUCGUUUUAAUCGAUGGGGGGACGCAGUAGGAUAGGCGAAGCGUGCGAUUGGAUUGCACGUCUAAGCAGUAAGGCUGAGUAUUAGGCAAAUCCGGUACUCGUUAAGGCUGAGCUGUGAUGGGGAGAAGACAUUGUGUCUUCGAGUCGUUGAUUUCACACUGCCGAGAAAAGCCUCUAGAUAGAAAAUAGGUGCCCGUACCGCAAACCGACACAGGUAGUCAAGAUGAGAAUUCUAAGGUGAGCGAGCGAACUCUCGUUAAGGAACUCGGCAAAAUGACCCCGUAACUUCGGGAGAAGGGGUGCUCUUUAGGGUUAACGCCCAGAAGAGCCGCAGUGAAUAGGCCCAAGCGACUGUUUAUCAAAAACACAGGUCUCUGCUAAACCGUAAGGUGAUGUAUAGGGGCUGACGCCUGCCCGGUGCUGGAAGGUUAAGAGGAGUGGUUAGCUUCUGCGAAGCUACGAAUCGAAGCCCCAGUAAACGGCGGCCGUAACUAUAACGGUCCUAAGGUAGCGAAAUUCCUUGUCGGGUAAGUUCCGACCCGCACGAAAGGCGUAACGAUUUGGGCACUGUCUCAACGAGAGACUCGGUGAAAUCAUAGUACCUGUGAAGAUGCAGGUUACCCGCGACAGGACGGAAAGACCCCGUGGAGCUUUACUGUAGCCUGAUAUUGAAAUUCGGCACAGCUUGUACAGGAUAGGUAGGAGCCUUUGAAACGUGAGCGCUAGCUUACGUGGAGGCGCUGGUGGGAUACUACCCUAGCUGUGUUGGCUUUCUAACCCGCACCACUUAUCGUGGUGGGAGACAGUGUCAGGCGGGCAGUUUGACUGGGGCGGUCGCCUCCUAAAAGGUAACGGAGGCGCUCAAAGGUUCCCUCAGAAUGGUUGGAAAUCAUUCAUAGAGUGUAAAGGCAUAAGGGAGCUUGACUGCGAGACCUACAAGUCGAGCAGGGUCGAAAGACGGACUUAGUGAUCCGGUGGUUCCGCAUGGAAGGGCCAUCGCUCAACGGAUAAAAGCUACCCCGGGGAUAACAGGCUUAUCUCCCCCAAGAGUUCACAUCGACGGGGAGGUUUGGCACCUCGAUGUCGGCUCAUCGCAUCCUGGGGCUGUAGUCGGUCCCAAGGGUUGGGCUGUUCGCCCAUUAAAGCGGUACGCGAGCUGGGUUCAGAACGUCGUGAGACAGUUCGGUCCCUAUCCGUCGUGGGCGUAGGAAAUUUGAGAGGAGCUGUCCUUAGUACGAGAGGACCGGGAUGGACAUACCUCUGGUGUACCAGUUGUCGUGCCAACGGCAUAGCUGGGUAGCUAUGUGUGGACGGGAUAAGUGCUGAAAGCAUCUAAGCAUGAAGCCCCCCUCAAGAUGAGAUUUCCCAACUUCGGUUAUAAGAUCCCUCAAAGAUGAUGAGGUUAAUAGGUUCGAGGUGGAAGCAUGGUGACAUGUGGAGCUGACGAAUACUAAUCGAUCGAAGACUUAAUCAA
rnacentral:rRNA from 1 species